GGGAAAGUUGCAAGGAACUUUGAAGAGAGAGUUCAAGAGUGCGUGAACCCGUUCGGAGGUAAACGGGUGGGAGCGCGAAGGUCGAAAGGAAGGGGAGGGAUUCAACUUGGCGUGACUGGCGUCCCCCGGCCGGCGCCCGAGGCCCGGCGGCACAUCCGUGUGUCGUCGCUCGUCUCUGGGUGUUCCUGGUUCCGGUGGGAGUCUGGCCUGGUCAACUGCCUCGUGCAUUUCCCUGUUCCCCCUCUCCUAGUAGGACGCCGUGACCGGCCGUCGUGGGGAGCCCAGGAGCCGGUGGGGGUAGCUGCGCGGACGAGUGUGGGACUCUGUUCUCUGCGUCCGGUCUGUCUGCCCUCCGCCGUGUGGCGGGUCGCUCUCCCCGGCCGAGGAGCUGUGCGAGGUUGGUGGGUGGAGGGGGUUCGCUCUCUCCGUCCCCACCGCCUCGUCCAAGCGCGCGCCCGCGAACUGUUAAGGCGGCCAGCGGGUCGAAAGAUCCCAACGGGUGGCUGCGGGUGGCUGCUGGACGGUCUUAGUGCCGUUUCCAGUGACCUCCGCGUGUCAGCCGCCGUCGGUCAGGGUGCGGACUCCCGCAGGGGGCGCUGGGGGUCGACGGCGAGUAGGUCGGUUUCCCACCCGACCCGUCUUGAAACACGGAACAA
rnacentral:rRNA from 1 species